rnacentral:rRNA from 1 species
GACGAACGCUGGCGGCGUGCCUAACACAUGCAAGUCGAACGGGGUUACACGCUGAAAUUGAGACAGCUUGCUGAGGAAAUUUCUUGUGUAAUCUAGUGGCGGACGGGUGAGUAACGCGUGAGUAACCUGCCUUUCAGAGGGGGAUAACGUUUUGAAAAGAACGCUAAUACCGCAUAACAUUGCAAGACCGCAUGGUAAUGCAAUCAAAAGAGCAAUCUGCUGAAAGAUGGACUCGCGUCCGAUUAGAUAGUUGGGGGGGUAACGGCCCACCAAGUCGACGAUCGGUAGCCGGACUGAGAGGUUGAACGGCCACAUUGGGACUGAGACACGGCCCAGACUCCUACGGGAGGCAGCAGUGAGGAAUAUUGGGCAAUGGGGGAAACCCUGACCCAGCAACGCCGCGUGAGGGAAGACGGUUUUCGGAUUGUAAACCUCUGUCCUCUGUGAAGAUAAUGACGGUAGCAGAGGAGGAAGCUCCGGCUAACUACGUGCCAGCCGCCGCAGUAAAA